rnacentral:lncRNA from 1 species
UAGAAUACCACAUGACAUACAAGGCUCCUCUAGGCUAUGACAAGAAGUCUUGGGAGUACUCUUGCACGGAAGACCUGAGAUGCUGUUCUCAUCACAUUACAUCAGCAACACAUGCUAUCAACAAGACUUGUCAUUGUUAGUAUUGACCUUGAUCAUUUGACAAAGGUAGUGUUGGCCAGAUUUUUCUGUAAGAUUAUUCUUCCCACUUCUUUACUGUAUUCUUUGGGAGCAAGUCCCUAUGUGCAGUCCACAUUUAAGAGGUAAGGGUUUAUCCUCCAUCUCUCUGAGCAGGAAGUUUCUGCAUGUAUUGUUUGGAGUUUUUUCAUAUGGGAGAUUUGUCUUCUUCAUUUGCUUAUUUAUUCAUUUAUAUAUUACAUCCUUAUGUAAAUAUAUAUUUAUACUUUUGAGUUCUAAUUUAAUGCUGUUAAAUAUACUCAUUUAUUUAUUUUUUGCUCAAAUUGUUCCAGGUUUGGUCACUAGGAGUUCUAUUAACUGUCCCUUUGACAUAUCCCAAUAUUAUUUCUGUGGGGGGUUGUCUUUUUUUUAAUUUCUUGCAUUUUCUUCGUUUCUUAUCUGUAAAAUACUCCAGGCUCAUGUUGUUUAUUUCCUGUCCCUCCUUAGAAUCAACCAUUUCUGCAAGGAACCUGACUCCUUUUAUUGGAAAUAAAAUCUUGGCAAUAGAAACCAUGAUUUGGACAGCAAGUGUGUUCAUUACUUUUGGAGUGGCAUUACUUCUAGGCCAUCUCAGCUGACAGAGCAAGGAGAUACAUGAGAAUACUAAUCUGUAUAUGUACCCAUGUCUGUAUUUACCCAUAGGAAGUCAAACAUGAACUCAUACUGUCAUUCAAAUUCUAAUCCACAGGAUCACCUCAGCCUUCAGGAGACUACCUUUUAAUGAAUGAAAGAAAAAAAAAAGAAAAGAAAAGAAAGAAAGAAAGAAAGAAAGAUCUAGAUUUUUCUUGUAUAAAUUGAAAAUAAAAAGGAAGGAAAGGAAGAAGAUUGGUUUUCAUAAUAUAUUCCUUUAUUUCUUCAGAGGAGUUAUCCACCAUCUUUUGAUUAAUGUGAUUCAAGCAGGACUGGGUUCUUAAAAAAAAAAAAGAAAGAAAGGUAAAGACAAUGGGCAUGAAUCCAGUUUGUUAUUAUCAGAGCCAACACCUUUCUCCUUUCAUUAAUUGGUAUAAAAAAAAAGUAUGGGGAAACUUGUGAACAGCUGCAGUUCUUCUGAAAAGAGAGCAAGAACAGUCUUAAAUUAUAUUAGAAGAAAUAGGGAAACUAUUCUGAUAAAGAGUUACUGAAUGUUGGAAUGUAAGAUAAGAAGUUAGAAUUUCUUCUUCUGUUUUUUAAAAUUAGGCCAGAUUCCUAGCUGUCUAGGAGAGUAGGUGUUUUUCUGAUUUUUAAAGCUCUUUUCCUCCCUGAUUUCUGGGAUUUUCUGCACACAUAUUUAGAUCCUUAGCGCAGGGAAAUUCCUAUGUUGAAGACACAGGAAGGUGAUAAGAAAAAUAGAGGGGGGGGGGAACAAGAAUAAAAAUGGGGAAAAAAGGUUUUAUCCUUUUUAAAAACUCCAUGUUUAGAAUAAAAGUGAAAACAGAAAAUGGAUUGUAUUUACCACCUUUUCAUAUUUCUUAAUCAGCAUCAAGUGCAAAUAUUGCAAUAUUGAUUUGCCCCUUUAAUAGCUCCUAAUGGUUAACAGAAACUGAUCAUAGGCAAUAAUAUAUAUUGCCUCCUAACAAACAGAUAAAUGCUUAGAUAUUUACAGUGUAAUACUGUUCCUUUGGUUAUUUUUUGUUUUUGUUUUUUUUAAAGAGGAUUUAUUUUAUUUUAUUUUUAACUACAGUAUUCUAAAUUGCCCUCACUUCUGUGGCAUUUUGAUUAUGUACCUGGAGCUAAGUAAUGAUGUUUUACCUAAACAAGAUGACUUAAAAAAUUAUUUGGGACUUAUAAUGAUAUGCUCUACAAAAUACAUUUUUUUCUACAAAUGUCAUGUGUAGGCCAAUAACAAAAUUAUUUUGCAUGAUGGCAAUGGAUUGUAUUGGAAAGAUCCGGUUUUACUACUGACCUUCCACAUACCACUGAUACAAUCUUGGGCAAAUUGCUUGUCAUUUUGAGUCUCAUUUGCUCAUCUUUGAAAUGGUUAUAGAAAUAUUUAUCUUGUAUAUUUAUUUAUUUAAAUAUUUAUGGUUGGUGUAAAUAUCAAAUGGGCCUGUGGACAUAUUAUACGUAAGUGCUAAGAGUGUGUUAUAAAGUAUUCAGAUGGCAAUUAUUAUUAUCACCAUUAUUGCUAAUCAUAAUGAAUUCAUUAAGGAAGCAUUAUUGAAUAAUGGAGAAUGAUAUUGGCCAAAUUAUAUUGUUAUAUUGUGUGCAUGUAUGAAUAUAUAAUAAGAAAUCUCACCAUUAUGUACAACUAUAAUGAGCCAUAAAUCAUGG